AGGCCCAGAGAUUUGUGACUUCUUAAGGGCCUGUCCCACUGCGGCGACCUAAUUUGUGAGUUUAGAACAGUUUGCGCUUGACUCAAUCUCGCAGCAUGAUCAACACAUGGUCCUAGGAGGUCCUAGGAGGUAACUGUAACACUCGUUAAUGCUUGAGGGAA